rfam:Toxocara canis scaffold617, whole genome shotgun sequence.
GCGGCAGUAGCUCAGUGGUAGAGAGCGGGGAGACCCGGGUUCGAUUCCCGGUUGAUUCC